UGGCUUGGCCUAAGAGGAAGGCCACGCUGCAGGGCUCUGACUGGAGGUGGGUGGGACAAGAGAAGUCAGAGAAGUCCCUAAAUGUUUACUAGACACCUGCUGCAGGGCCUCCGGGAUCCUAAACAGCACCAUGUCUGUGCGCCCAUUCAUGCAGCUGGUGGUUUCGCCUCAUUUACCCCCCAACUCUUUGUUGAGCACCUACUAUGUGCAAGGUGUCUUCAUAGGUGCUGGGGACAAAGCAGGCUGGUCCCUGGCUUCUUGGGGCUCACAGCUUGGACUGGGUUCAUGGUGGGAGAAGCAAUGCCUCCUGCAGACGGCUGGGGCCUGCAGAGCUGCGUGGGGCAGGACCUCGCUGUCUGCAGCUGCUUAAAUCUUAUCAAUCUUAUUGCCCCAAACCAGAUUCCCACACCUGGCCUUUGAGCCUGCAGGUCCCCCUGGGGAGCUGACUGCAGCAGGUGCUCAGGCCAGAAACCUGUGUGUCCCCCGCCCCAACCCCAGUCCAACCUGUCUGCAACUCCUGUGAACGUGGUCUCCAGAACAAAUGUUGAAGCUAUCCAGCUCUGUGUUUUCCCUUACUCUGUCUAGGUCACCAUCACCCCAUCACUCCUGCCUGAAUACAAUGUCCUCUGCCUAAUUGGUGGUUUUUUUGUUUGUUUGUUUUUAUACUCAGGGCUUGAAUGUAGGAGCACACCACCACUGAGCCAUAUCCCCAGCCCAUUGUAUUUUUCAUUUUGAGACAGGGUCUGGCUAAGUGGCUGAGGUUGGCCUCUGAUUUGAGAUCCUCCUACUUCAGCCUCCCUGAGUUGCUGGGAUCACAGGUGUGCACCACCACCCCUGAACUGACAGGCCUUCUAGACCAGUUAAUCCUUACGCCACCCGCCUGGCCAGAGCAGGCCUUUUGAGAGGCAACCCCAUGCCCCAUCCCCCCCACCCCCAUUUCCCUGCUGAAAGUUUGGCUUCAGUGGUUUCCUAUGGAUCUGGAAUCAGCCAGAAGCCUGAGCAGUUCCCGGAGCUCGCAGGUCCCACGCUGCCCCCUUCUGACCUCUCUGGGCAGGUCCACACCCUCUUCCCCGUGGGCCUGGGUUCCCUGAGCCACGCCCCUGAAGGUGCCCCCUCCCUCCCUUCUCCAAGGGUCUCCCUUCUCUAUCUACUCCUUCCAGGGCCUCCCUGCCCACCCUGGCCCAAGGGGUCUCCGUGGUCUUAUCUCUUGCUGUUUCCCUCGGUGCCUGUCUCACUCUCGGGGUUCUACCUGCUGAACCUGUUAGAUCUUGGACCUGGUUGUCCCAGAAGCAGCAUCCAAGUCUGGCCUGUUCCCGGGGGCUGCUGUCCCCUAGCCCAGUGCCUGCCCCGAGCCCCCUCCUGCCCCUCUGUGCACAGGGGCUGCCCACUGAGUUUCCUGGGCCCAGCCAGGGCCCCCCACCUGUCGCCCGCCCGCAGUGGCCCAGCUGUCUUUUUGUUCACAUGGAUCCACUCUCUCCUCUCCCCUCAGCGGAAUAACCUGCGGGCCACCCCGUCAUCUGCGGAUCUCUAAUAGUGCGUUAUUUUUAGAACAGGUGAAAGCAACGCUAAGCCACCUCUGAGAGGCUCCUCCACCCCCACCGGCCUCACUACACCAAUCUGGUUUCCUGUGCUGCUUGUGGAGGCUGCCACACUAGCCAGCUUUGUUAUUCUGGGGGAGUGGAGAAGGACCUCAAAAGAAAACCAAGCCCCUCUUGGUCCAGCUGGCGCCAGCCCCUGACAGGCAGAAGGAAGCCCAGGAUGAAGUCUUAUGCAUCUCACUUGCUGUGUGACCUUGGGCUCCUCACUUUCCCUCUCUGAGCUUCAGUUACCUAUCUGUAAAAGGAGGGGGUUGGACUGUUAAUGAGUAAAGGCCUCUGUCAGGUAAGAUUUGCAUGGAACCAUGACCAGUGGGUCUUUUCCAUCCCUGGGCAUCAAUUAGAUGACAGCCACAGUUCCUUCUAUGAAUGAAAUGUAGGGGUGCCUCUUAUAGUGUGCAUACAAAUACUUGCAAAUUGAUGCAAAAUAAAGGAUUCCAGUAGCUUUUGUUUGCAGGACCAUCAGGGUCUGGCCAGACCUGGGAUAGACAGAGGAAUUUUGCUCCUGCCUUCAUACCUGUUUGGAUAUCUUUCCCUACAUUUCCACUCUAAAAGAGGAAACAAGCCCAGAGAGGAACAGUGACUUGCCCAAGGUCACACAGCAAGACUGACAAAGACAGUUAGCAGCUGUCUCUCCAUUCUGGCGUUUUUCUCACCUGCUGUCCCUGACAUUUAGUCACAGGCCUGGGGCUAGUACCUGGCUCUCAGGUAAGGGGAGCAAAUUCUCUAGCACACAGUGCAGUGGAACGAGCUUCGUGAAGAAGUGCAUCCAAAGCCAGGCCCUGUGAGGUACGCCUGUCAUCCCAGAAACUCAGGAGGCUGAGGCAGGAGGAUCACAAGUUUGAGGCCAGCCUCACAAUUUAGUGAGGUCCUGACUCAAAAUAAAAAAAAUAAAAAGGUCUGGGGAUGUGGCUCAGUGGUAAAGUGCCCCUGGGUUCAAUCCCCAGUACCAAAGAGGGGGACAAAAAUUUAGCCCAAAUCCUAGGGCUGUAGAGGAGGGAGAGGCGCUCUGUCGUGAGAUCAGGAUCAAGGCGUCUUACAAU
rnacentral:lncRNA from 1 species